AGCGAACGCUGGCGGCGUGCCUAACACAUGCAAGUCGAACGUGAAAGGGAGCAAUCCCAAGUAAAGUGGCGUACGGGUGAGUAACACGUAGGUAAUCUACCCCAGAAUCUGGAAUAACCGGCCGAAAGGCUGGCUAAUACUGGAUAGAGCGACGGAAUACGUAAUUGGGUUUUUCGGGAAAGGGAGCCUGUAAAAAGGCCUUCGUUCUGGGAUGAGCCUGCGUCCCAUCAGCUAGUUGGUGAGGUAAAAGCUUACCAAGGCAAUGACGGGUAGCUGGUCUGAGAGGACGAUCAGCCACACUGGAACUGAAACACGGUCCAGACUCCUACGGGAGGCAGCAGUGGGGAAUCUUGCGCAAUGGACGAAAGUCUGACGCAGCAACGCCGCGUGAGUGAAGAAGGCCUUCGGGUUGUAAAGCUCUGUCGAGUGGGACGAAAAUGCUUGGAGUUCACAGCUCCAGGAACUGACGGUACCACUAAAGGAAGCACCGGCUAACUCCGUG
rnacentral:rRNA from 1 species